AAUAUUGCGCAAUGGAGGGAACUCUGACGCAGCGACGCCGCGUGAGCGAUGAAGGNCUNNGGAUCNUNAAGCUCUGUCCUUGGNNNNNAAGGGUGCAUUAUAGCAUCUUGACGGUACCCGAGGAGGAAGCCCCGGCUAACUACGGGCCAGCAGCCGCGGUAAUCCGGAGGGGGCAAGCGUUGUUCGGAUUUACUGGGCGUAAAGGGCGCGUAGGCGGAUGUUCGCGUCAGAGGUGAAAGCCCCGGGCUCAACCUGGGAACUGCCUUUGAACCGGGACAUCUUGAGUUCGGAAGAGGGUAGCGGAAUUCCCAGUGUAGAGGUGAAAUUCGUAGAUAUUGGGAAGAACACCAGUAGCGAAGGCGGCUACCUGGUCCGACACUGACGCUGAGGCGCGAAAGCGUGGGGAGCAAACA
rnacentral:rRNA from 1 species